rnacentral:rRNA from 1 species
CCUACGGGUGGCAGCAGUGGGGGAUAUUGCACAAUGGGGGGAACCCUGAUGCAGCGACGCCGCGUGGGUGAAGAAGCGCCUCGGCGCGUAAAGCCCUUUCAGCAGGGAAGAAAAGGACGGAACUUGAAGAAGAAGCCCCGGCUAACUACGUGCCAGCAGCCGCGGUAAUACGUAGGGGGAAAGCGUAAUCCGGAUUUACGGGGUGGAAAGGGGGCGCAGACGGCGAUGCAAGCCAGGAGUGAAAGCCCGGGGCCCAACCCCGGGACUGCUCUUGGAACUGCGUGGCUGGAGUGCAGGAGGGGCAGGCGGAAUUCCUGGUGUAGCGGUGAAAUGCGUAGAUAUCAGGAGGAACACCGGUGGCGAAGGCGGCCUGCUGGACUGCAACUGACGUUGAGGCCCGAAAGCGUGGGGAGCAAACAGGAUUAGAUACCCGGGUAGUC